AGGAUGAACGCUGGCGGCGUGCUUAACACAUGCAAGUCACGGGGGCCCAGCAAUGGGCAACCGGCGAACGGGUGCGUAACACGUGAGCAACCUACCUAAGUCGAGGGGGGAUAGCCGGCCCAACGGCCGGGUAAUACCGCAUACGCUCGAAUUGAGGCAUUUUGAUUUCGAGGAAACCUACGGGGCACGUAUCGAGGGGCUCGCGGCCUAUCAGCUAGUUGGUGAGGUAACGGCUCACCAAGGCGACGACGGGUAGCUGGUCUGAGAGGAUGGCCAGCCACAUUGGGACUGAGAUACGGCCCAGACUCCUACGGGAGCAGCGAGUGGGAAUCUUAGCGCAAAUGGCCUAACGGCUAGACGACAGCCGACGCCGCGUGGACGGGAUCGGACGCGUUCGUUACGGAGUGUUAAACC
rnacentral:rRNA from 1 species